rnacentral:rRNA from 1 species
GAUAGGAAUUCCCCGUGUAGCGGUGAAAUGCGUAGAGAUGUGGAGGAACACCAGUGGCGAAGGCGACUCUCUGGUCUGUAACUGACGCUGAGGAGCGAAAGCGUGGGGAGCGAACAGGAUUAGAUACCCUGGUAGUCCACGCCGUAAACGAUGAGUGCUAAGUGUUAGGGGGUUUCCGCCCCUUAGUGCUGCAGCUAACGCAUUAAGCACUCCGCCUGGGGAGUACGGUCGCAAGACUGAAACUCAAAGGAAUUGACGGGGGCCCGCACAAGCGGUGGAGCAUGUGGUUUAAUUCGAAGCAACGCGAAGAACCUUACCAGGUCUUGACAUCCUCUGACAAUCCUAGAGAUAGGACGUCCCCUUCGGGGGCAGAGUGACAGGUGGUGCAUGGUUGUCGUCAGCUCGUGUCGUGAGAUGUUGGGUUAAGUCCCGCAACGAGCGCAACCCUUGAUCUUAGUUGCCAGCAUUCAGUUGGGCACUCUAAGGUGACUGCCGGUGACAAACCGGAGGAAGGUGGGGAUGACGUCAAAUCAUCAUGCCCCUUAUGACCUGGGCUACACACGUGCUACAAUGGACAGAACAAAGGGCAGCGAAACCGCGAGGUUAAGCCAAUCCCACAAAUCUGUUCUCAGUUCGGAUCGCAGUCUGCAACUCGACUGCGUGAAGCUGGAAUCGCUAGUAAUCGCGGAUUCCAGCAGCCGCGGUAAUACGUUCCCGGGCCUUGUACACACCGCCCGUCACACCACGAGAGUUUGUAACACCCGAAGUCGGUGAGGUAACCUUUAAGGAGCCAGCCGCCGAAGGGGACAAUA